GACUCUCGGCAACGGAUAUCUCGGCUCUCGCAUUGAUGAAGAACGUAGCAAAAUGCGAUACCUGGUGUGAAUUGCAGAAUCCCGCGAACCAUCGAGUUUUUGAACGCAAGUUGCGCCCGAGGCCUUCCGGCCGAGGGCACGUCUGCCUGGUCGUCA
rnacentral:rRNA from 1 species